ACAUUAUGCUGAGACAACGGUUCCCCUAUGAUCACUGGUUAAGCAAUGUUGAGCUUGGUCAGUACCUAGAUGGGUGACCACUCAGGAAUACCAGGUGCUGUAA